CCGCCACAAGCGAACGAGCCUGGGCUGGCCUUGUGGAAGCCUAGCCGAGGCCUCAGAAUAUGGAUGAGAUCAUCUGAGACCAUCCACCCCAGGAAGCCAGCAAAGUGGCUAGAACCCGCCAUACCACCGCAGAAUCACGAUUGCUGUUCUGAGUCACUACAUUUCAGGUGACUUGUUGAGCAGCAAACGAGCUGACGAACCUAAAGUCAGAAGAUGCUAGCGGAAGAAACAGGACCCAGAACUCCAUUGGAAAAUGGGGUAUACAGACUUCGAGGAUGCCAGACAAAAAGAUCAUUUGAAAUAUUGUUGUCACUAAGCCUUCUUUGAUCAAGACACCAUGAGCUCAUGAUAAAAAGAGAGGGGAGAGUGGAGUAAAGAACUGCCUAACCUAAUGUAAGUUUUCA
rnacentral:lncRNA from 1 species